GGGGGACCUUCGGGCCUCUUGCCAUCGGAUGUGCCCAGAUGGGAUUAGCUUGUUGGUGGGGUAACGGCUCACCAAGGCGACGAUCCCUAGCUGGUCUGAGAGGAUGACCAGCCACACUGGAACUGAGACACGGUCCAGACUCCUACGGGAGGCAGCAGUGGGGAAUAUUGCACAAUGGGCGCAAGCCUGAUGCAGCCAUGC
rnacentral:rRNA from 1 species